GCCGAACACAGCAACAUCACCAACGCUGCCUGAGUCGCCAGAGUUUCGCAUGAACUGAAACAAUCUGAAGGUGCAGUAACAGUUAACAGAGUUAACUUGUGUCUUCAAGAAGCAGCUGCAGAGCCAGAGAAUCCGCCGCCCCACUGAGACAUCCAGAGCAUCACAACGCCAAGAGACAUACAAGAUGGCUGCUGGUGGUAACGCUCGUCCUUUUGAAUACCCUGAAGGAGCUAGCGAA